AUUCUGCACUUAAUGAUAUUUUUUAUUCUACUUUAUACAGGUCAAUCAUAAUUUCAGAGAGUAUCAAGGAGAAGAGAGUGAUUGAAUGUUAAAGGCUGCACAGAGGACAAGAAGAAUGAGGAUCAAGAAAAGAGGAAUGGUUAGAACCUCAAAUCCAAGAGAUGUGAUUAUGAGCAAAGAUCAGAAACUAAGCAUAAGAGUGGUCUUGAGUCCCUAGGUAAGGAGCUGACUGCUCAUCUAAAGAGCCUUCUGUGCCAAACAUUAUACUAAGUGCCUUAUUGAUAUUUUCUCAUUUUAUACUUACAACAACUGUGAGGUAGAUACUAUUAUCUCCCUUAAAAGUUGAAACCAUGAGACAGAUGCUAAGUGAUUUGCCCAGCAUCACACAGUUGGUAUCUGAGGCCAGAUUUGAACUGAAGUCUUUCUGACUCCAGGUACUAUACACCUAGAUUCCGUAAAUUCAACAAUUUACUUCAGGAAAUCUGUUUCAGAAAAAUUGAAGUGAUUAUCCUGUUGUCAGAUGUUGCCGAAGUCUCUGUACAGCUUUUGGCUUCAGGAAAUGUCCAAAUUGAAAUGCAAAGAGCUGUGUGAGCAAAGAGUAUGGAGUUAUUGAUGAUCCUCCAGGCUAUUUAGGUAGUACUGAAAAUAAUAUGGUAGAAGAUUUGACCCCUCGGCAUUUCUGGCUGAGUGGCAAGCAAAAUGUGUAAGAUAGAUAAUAAUAGCAAGUGAGCAAUGUAGAUUGGGUGAGUGAGGAAGUUGGCUCUGUGAAUAAGGAAGUGAAUGUGGGUGAAUAAGGAAGUGAAUGUGGGUGAGUGAGGGUACGUUCAGGUGGAAAGGAUCUGAUCUGAUUCUGGCAACUGUGUGAAGAGCCCAAUGGCUUUUGAAAGAUUCUUGAUUUGUAUAACUUAUUGGGAUUAUAUUGAUUUGAUGGGAAGAAGGCUGACUAUUUAGUAAAUCCAAGGUUAUUCCAUUUCUGAGGAAAAUCCAAACUGCAGAAUAGUGAUGAGUUUUGAGAACUAUAGGUCCUUGCAAGGAAAGUUGGAUUUACUGGAGAAGGAAGUCAAUAUUUAAGAGCGUAUUGACUAUUUUAGGGUACAAAUGGGAGUCAUUUAUGUUUUGUAAAUGGUGAGGCAAAGGAUGUCCUUUAGCUGAUGUGCACUAUUACCUUUCUGGUCUACAGCAGAACUGUAGAAACUGGGACAAGAGCCGUAUUAUGAUGUUUCCUAGAGGAAUCCUUGGAUGGGAGCAAAACAAGACAGAUGCAUGAAUAUGUGAAGGUAGCUUUGUAAGACCUUGGUCCAUGAAAACCUGGAGCCUGUGGUGGAAUGGAGGAAUAAAUGCCCAUAUUGGACUCUGAGUUAUAGUGCA
rnacentral:lncRNA from 1 species